rnacentral:lncRNA from 1 species
CUCGGCGGGGGUCCCGGCUGGGUCGGGAUCUGCUCCCCGAGGCUCGAGACCGCCCGCCCCCGCCGCGGAGCCCGGACGCCGGAGUCCCGGCCCCUGGCGCCCACGCCUCCGCAGCUUCUGCCCCGGCCCCGCACCAGCCCUCCUUCCCCACCAGCCCCGCGCCCCAGGCCUCCCCUCGGGGGGCGGCCCCCCGAGCUGCCCAGGCUCAGCUCCUGUCCCGGGUAUCCCUCCGACGGCCUGCCGGCGCCCCUCAGUCCGUUCCCGCUCCCUGCUCCCCCUUCCUAGGAGAGCCCCUUCAGUCUGCGGGGCCAGAAGGUAACCUGAUGCCUUCCACGUCAACCGGGAAAUAGCAGGAUUUCUCCACCAUUUCAGAUCCAGUCUCGUGGCCGGAAGCCAGGCUGGCCUCGCUCAAGGUCAGGCCUGGCAGGGCUGCGCCGCCGGAGCCCCCCUCCAGGCACGGAGGACCCCAGGCAAGGGGCAACCUGCCAGGGAGCUUCAGACCGAGGGUGCCGAGUUCCUGCUUCCCGGCGCCCAUGCUGUGCCCAGGCUUCCUCAUGCCCUGCCGCUUGUCACUGAGCAGGGCCCAGGGGAGCUUUGGAAAAUCACAGCCCCUCCCACGCUCCUCGGCGUCCUCUUCUGCCUCCACAUCUAAGAGCAGUGGCCGCAGGACUCGCCAUCCCAGCUGCGACGAUGGGAGCGGUUCCCAUUCACCCAGAAGCAGCAACCUCAGCCUGUGGAAGUUUCCCGGCCAGGGAUCAAACCAGCGCCUCAGCAGUGGCCCAAGCCACAGCAGUGACAAUGCUGGAUCCUUAACCCUCUGAUCCCCUGGGGAACUCCUUCUCUUCCUUGAUGUCGGAGGAGAAAGGCUGUGUGUCGGGCGACAGAGGGGACUGGACCGAAAGUCCUGGGACGCUCCACCUGGUAAACUCGGCCCGUCUGUUUCAGGACCAGCAGGUGCCUUAGGCCUUCAGGGGACCUGCAGGUCUAGGUUGGAAGUGGAGAUAAACACACUUUCCCUGUCCCUGUGCUUGGGGUACCACUGAACCUCCUUCCUUCCAGGGAGUCCUGGAGGGGGCAAGGCCCCAAUUCUGACUGAACCGGAAUAUCCUGCCUCCCCAGCAGCUUUAGAC